AAGACGAAGGUGGCAAGCGUUGUUCGGAUUUACUGGGCGUACAGGGUGCGUAGGCGGUUCGGUAAGCCCUUCGUGAAAUCUCCGGGCUUAACCCGGAAAGGUCGGAGGGGACUGCCGAGCUAGAGGACGGGAGAGGAGCGCGGAAUUCCCGGUGUAGCGGUGAAAUGCGUAGAGAUCGGGAGGAAGGCCGGUGGCGAAGGCGGCGCUCUGGAACGUUUCUGACGCUGAUGCACGAAAGCGUGGGGAGCAAACAGGAUUAGAUACCCUGGUAGUCCACGCCCUAAACGAUGGACACUAGGUGUCGGCGGGUUACCGCCGGUGCCGCAGCUGACGCAGUAAGUGUCCCGCCUGGGGAGUACGGCCGCAAGGUU
rnacentral:rRNA from 1 species